ACCGUUUUUACACUGUAUUUUUUUCGGUACAAAUUAAUACACGAGUUUGCAAAAAAAAGGUAUAAAUAUGAUACAAUUUACCUCUAUUUGUUCGUAUUCUUAAGUUUUUUAAUUAAAAACUUCACGAGCAGUGCGUGAAAUAGUGAAAAUGUGAAAUAAAAAACAAUUUUUACUUCCCGGACACAAAACAUGUGAUUGUGAGGUUAUGUUUCAUUGUUUACAUUUCAUGAAAGUGUUUUGUUGUGAAAAUCUCAGCUAAAAUGGCAGUUUUCAGAGUUAUUAGUGAUAUUUAUUAAAAUAUUUGUGGCCAAAAAUUAUCACAGGGCCGCAUUUAUUUAAAAACGAAUGAAAUCAAGUGCCCUGUGAUGUGUGUAAACGUGUUUUGAUGAUGAUUUACUGGACAGAGUUUUUGGACAAAAAUCACCACAAUACAUCAAUAAAUUACGUCCGCGAAACUAACAAAAAGAUUAGGAAGUGAAAAUAUACUACUUGAAAGUUCCUGGACAUAUUGUUGGUUCAUUUUGAGUGCUCAUCCAAGUGCAAAUAUAGUCCGGAGAGCCUCAAAUUCGAUACUGGAAUAAGCUUCCGGAAGGUGUUUUUAUAAGGAGCCAGAGACGACGGAAAUUUCAGACAGGCCACAGAAGAUGUUCCCAUUGAAGUAACAAAACAGGAAAGAAGUAACGAUGACUCUGGUUUAACCACGUUAGUACCACAGGAGUCAAAAUCAUCGCUGCUGUUGAAGACGUCCGGAAGGAGGAAAUUCAGCAUAGAAGUGUCAGAAUUCGUGGAAAUUAUUCCGCAGGGAUGUUCCGGUGAGAAGAAGGCGAAUGAUUGUCUUCAAUUUUUGGAGGAUUUUGGACAAUUUGUACCCUCCAUUCUUGAUCACGUAAACGUCAUCCAACGUGGUGUAUUUCUUGUUGGACUUCUCACUCGAAGAGACUUCUCAGGGAUGUACAUCUCGUAGAACAGAACCUCCAACAUGAAAGUUUGAAGAAUGUCUUGGAUAUCUAUCUGGAUUUGAUUUGAUCAGCAUUAUUUCUGGCUAAGAUUGUAGACAGUAUCUUUGAGGUCAUACUAAAGUUUGCCUCCUUUAACUGGUUGGGCUGUUGCCUUAUCUAAUGGCUUGUACACACAAAUGAAGGAUCCCAGUAUUUCCUGUGAGUUUUUGAUAUUGGGAUUGAAUAUAAUUCCUCUGCACUCACCCCGCAGUAGAAAAUGCAUC